GAUGAACGCUGGCGGCGUGCCUAAUACAUGCAAGUCGAGCGAACGGACGAGAAGCUUGCUUCUCUGAUGUUAGCGGCGGACGGGUGAGUAACACGUGGAUAACCUACCUAUAAGACUGGGAUAACUUCGGGAAACCGGAGCUAAUACCGGAUGAUAUUUUGAACCGCAUGGUUCAAAAGUGAAAGACGGUCUUGCUGUCACUUAUAGAUGGAUCCGCGCUGCAUUAGCUAGUUGGUAAGGUAACGGCUUACCAAGGCAACGAUGCAUAGCCGACCUGAGAGGGGGACCGGCCACAGUGGAACGGAGACACGGUCCGGCCCCCUACGGGAGGCGCCAGUGGGGAACCUUCGGAAAGGGGCGAAAGCCGGACGGAGCAACGCCGCGUGAGUGAUGAAGGUCUCCGAAUCGAAAAACUCUGUUAUGAGGGAAAAACAUAUGGGAAAGAAACUGUGCACAUCUUGACGGUACCUAAUCAAAAAGCCACGGCUAACUACGGG
rnacentral:rRNA from 1 species